rnacentral:lncRNA from 1 species
AUCAGGAGAGGAGCAGAGCGUGGGGAGGCGCCCGUGGGGGAGCCAUCUGAGAAGGUGAUGCCCGCGGUAGGUGUUUGCUGGCAUAGGGGAGGGGGACAGCUUGGAACGUCCGAAGGAGCCUGGUUCUGUGGAGUGUGUCUGUCGUCACAGUGACUCAGGAGGCUGAGGCAAGAGGCUCACCAGGUGGAGGCCAGCCUCAGCAACUCAGCGAGGUCCUGUCUCUAAAGGGCUGGGAUGGUCGGCGGGUAGGCACCCUUGGAUUCAAUCCCUGGGACCACAACCCAGGAAGCCACAGAAGGGGUUCUCAUUGGAAGUUGCCCUGACGUGAAAACCCUCGGGCUCUGGUCCCUGACCACAAGUUCCCCAGGCCUCCUAUCUGGAGACUCCCAAACCAGAUCAAGGUGUCUGUCUGACCUUGACUUUGAGACUUAUGAAGUGCAAGGCUGAAAAAUCGCCAUUGAGCCUGAAACCCGCCAUAAGGUGCUCCCUGUCAUCCCAUCAACCUCUGCACUGUCCAUGCUACUUCCAGUGUCCUGCGUUUUGGAACUGCAGACGCAAUAUCUUGGUCCAUGAAGACUUCAGGAUACCAGCCGUUAUC